rnacentral:ncRNA from 1 species
GGCGGGAGGGCGGCGAAUAAAACACCCGCAAGGGAAAUAAGCCCACCUGAUAUCCCUGACGUUGGGCAGUGUUAUUGGGUUUUUGGCCUCCCGCCACCACGUG